rnacentral:rRNA from 1 species
AGAGUUUGAUCCUGGCUCAGGACGAACGCUGGCGGCGUGCCUAAUACAUGCAAGUCGAGCGAGCGGAACCAACAGAUUUACUUCGGUAAUGACGUUGGGAAAGCGAGCGGCGGAUGGGUGAGUAACACGUGGGGAACCUGCCCCUAAGUCUGGGAUACCAUUUGGAAACAGGUGCUAAUACCGGAUAAUAAAGCAGAUCGCAUGAUCAGCUUUUGAAAGGCGGCGUAAGCUGUCGCUAAGGGAUGGCCCCGCGGUGCAUUAGCUAGUUGGUAAGGUAACAGCUUACCAAGGCGACGAUGCAUAGCCGAGUUGAGAGACUGAUCGGCCACAUUGGGACUGAGACACGGCCCAAACUCCUACGGGAGGCAGCAGUAGGGAAUCUUCCACAAUGGACGCAAGUCUGAUGGAGCAACGCCGCGUGAGUGAAGAAGGUUUUCGGAUCGUAAAGCUCUGUUGUUGGUGAAGAAGGAUAGAGGUAGUAACUGGCCUUUAUUUGACGGUAAUCAACCAGAAAGUCACGGCUAACUACGUGCCAGCAGCCGCGGUAAUACGUAGGUGGCAAGCGUCGUCCGGAUUUAUUGGGCGUAAAGCGAGCGCAGGCGGAAAAAUAAGUCUAAUGUGAAAGCCCUCGGCUUAACCGAGGAACUGCAUCGGAAACUGUUUUUCUUGAGUGCAGAAGAGGAGAGUGGAACUCCAUGUGUAGCGGUGGAAUGCGUAGAUAUAUGGAAGAACACCAGUGGCGAAGGCGGCUCUCUGGUCUGCAACUGACGCUGAGGCUCGAAAGCAUGGGUAGCGAACAGGAUUAGAUACCCUGGUAGUCCAUGCCGUAAACGAUGAGUGCUAAGUGUUGGGAGGUUUCCGCCU